rnacentral:rRNA from 1 species
AUGUUGCGCGCAGCCGCUUCCCGCCUCCUCGUGCCCCUCCGGAGGCCCUCCCUGUCUCCGGCACCUUCCACGGCGGCCUGCACUCUGCGGCACCUCCGCCUCUUCUCCCCGCCGCCGCAGCCGCGUCGGGGUCCGGAUGCGGAGGUGACGCCGGCGGAGGCGCGGCGUCUGGUGCGGCUCGUGGGCGUGGAGGCGCUCAAGAGGCGGCUGCGGGAGGACGGGCGCGGCGAGGUGGUCGGCUACGGGGAGCUCCUCGACGCAUGCGUGGAGGCCGGCGCGGCCCGCACGCGCGGCGAGGCGGAGGUGCUGGCCCGGGCCAUGGACGACGCCGGCGUCGUGCUUCUCUUCCGGGACAAGGCGUACCUCCACCCCGAGAAGGUUGUGGACCUGGUCAGAAGGGCGGUGCCGCUUGCACUCGCACCAGACAACGACACGAGAAAGGAAGAGUUUAAGCAGCUCCAGGAAAAGAAGGAAGAGAUCGACAAGCUGGCACACAAGCAAGUCCGGCGAGUCCUGUGGACUGGCUUAGGGUUCUUCAUGUUCCAGGUUGGGAUCUUCUUCCGUCUCACGUUCUGGGAGUUCUCAUGGGACGUGAUGGAGCCGAUCGCCUUCUUCACGACCACCUCGGGGCUGCUGGUUGGCUAUGCCUACUUCGUCAUCACCUCAAGGGACCCGACGUAUCAAGACUUCAUGGAGAGGAUGUUUGAUUCGAGGAGGAGAAAGCUUUGCGUGAAGCAUGGUUUCAACAUGGAGAAGUACCUGGAGCUGCAGAAACAUUGCAAGUGCCCUCUGGAAGGCAAUCAUUCUCAGGGGCAUGACUAG